GACGAACGCUGGCGGCGUGCUUAACACAUGCAAGUCGAGCGGUAAGGCCCUUUCGGGGGUACGACGAGCGGCGAACGGGUGAGUAACACGUGGGUGACCUGCCUUUAGCUCUGGGAUAAGCCUGGGAAACUGGGUCUAAUACCGGAUAUGACUCCAUGAUGCAUGUUGUGGGGUGGAAAGCCUUGUGCGGCUGGAGAUGGGCCCGCGGCCUAUCAGCUUGUUGGUGGGGUGAUGGCCUACCAAGGCGACGACGGGUAGCCGGCCUGAGAGGGCGACCGGCC
rnacentral:rRNA from 1 species